rnacentral:miRNA from 1 species
AUCACCUGGAGAUCUUGUUAAAAUGCACUAUAAAUUGGUAGGUCUAGGGUGGGGCCUGAGAUUCUGCAUUUCUAACAAGCUCCCUGGUGAUGCUAAU